CUUCUACACCCUCCGUCCGGAAUUACUUGUCGCAGAGAUGGAUGUAUCUAGACGUAUUUUUAGUUCUAGAUACAUCCAUUUAUGUGACAAGUAAUUCUGGACGGAGGGAAUACAUG
rnacentral:pre_miRNA from 1 species